rnacentral:rRNA from 1 species
AGUUUGAUCCUGGCUCAGGAUGAACGCUGGCGGCGUGCCUAACACGUGCAUGUCGAGCGAACCCUUCUGGGUGAGCGGCGGACGGGUGAGUAACGCUGUGGGUAACCUGUCCCUGUACGCUCGGAUAACAUACCGAAAGGUAUGCUAAUACCGGAUAAUAUAUGAGAGUCGCGUGGCUUUUGUGUCAAAGCUCCGGCGGUGCAGGAUGGACCCGCAUCUGAUUACCUACUUGGUAAGGUAACGGCUUACCAAGGCAACGAUCAGUACCCAACCUGAGAGGGUGAUCGGCCACAUUGGAACUGAUACACGGUCCAAACUCCUACGGGAGGCAGCAGUGGGGAAUAUUGCACAAUGGGCGAAAGCCUGAUGCAUCAACGCCGCGUGAGCGAUGAAUGCCUUCAGGUCGUAAAGCUCUGUCCUCAAGGAAGAUAAUGACGGUACUUGAGGAAGAAGCCCCGGCUAACUACCUGCCGUCAGCCGCGGUAAUACGUACGGGGCUAGCGUUAUCCGGAAUUACUGGGCGUAAAGGGUGCGUAGGCGGUCUUUCAAGUCCAGAAGUGAAAGGCUACGGCUCAACCGUAGUAAGCUUUUGGAACUGUAGGAUUGGAGUGCAGGGGAGGGGAGUGGAUUUCAUAGGGUAGCGGUGAAAGGGGUGGAUUUUGGGGGGACCCCCAGGAGGGAAGGGGGUUUUUUGCACGGUAACUGACUCUGACGCACGAAAGCUUGAGGAGCAUUCAGGAUUACAUAUCCUGGUAGUCCACUCCGUAAACGAUGAGUACUAGGUGUCGGGGGUUACCCCCCUCGGUGCCGCAGCUAACGCAUUAUGUACUCCGCCUGGGAAGUGCGCUCACCAGAGCGAAUCUCAAAAGAAUCGAGUGGGGACCCGCACAAGUAGCUGAGCAUGUGGUUUAUUUCGAUGCAACGAGAAGAACCUUCCGUACUCUUUACAUCCAGAGAACUUUCCAGAGAUGGAUGGGUGCCUUCGGGAACUAUGAGUCAGGUGCUGCACGUCCGUUGUCAGUUCGUGUUGUGUAACAUUGGGCUAAGUCCCGCAUCGACGCUGCAACCCUUAUCUUUUGUUGCCAGCGAUUGGAUUGGGAACUCAAAGGAGACUGCUCGGUGAUAAACCGGAUGGAUACGGUGGGGAAGAGCUCAAGUCAUCAUGGCCCUUAAGAGUAGGGUUACACACGUGAUACAAUGGCAUAUACAAAGGGCGGCAAGCUUCCGAUAGUGAGCGAAUCCCAUAAAGUAUGUCGUAGUCCGGAUUGGAGUUUGCAACUCGACUCCAUGAAGUUGGAAUCGCUAGUAAUCGCGGAUCAGAAUGCCGCGGUGAAUACGUUCCCGGCCCUUGCACACACCGCCCGUCA